rnacentral:pre_miRNA from 1 species
AUUAUACUCCCUCCGUCCGAAAAUACUUGUCAUCAAAAUGGACAAAAAGGGAUGUAUCUAAAACUAAAAUACAUCUAGAUACAUCCCUUUUAUCCAUUUUGAUGACAAGUAUUUCCGGAUGGAGGGAGUAUAUA